AGCUGAUUAGCUCAGUUGCUCAGAGCGUUGUGCUAAUAUAUAAGCACAAAGUCCUCUUAUUAAUGCAAACGUCCUGGGUUCAAUCCCCAAAUUGGCUA